rnacentral:rRNA from 1 species
CAAAGGUAGCAUAAUCAUUAGAGGUUUAAUUGGAAUCUGGUAUGAAGGGUUGGACAAAGAAAAAGCUGUCUUUGGAAUAAAUAUUGAAAUUUACUUUUAAGUGAAAAGGCUUAAAUAAAUCAAGGGGACGAUAAGACCCUAUAAAUCUUUAUAAAUAAUUUAGGUUUAGUUAAUUUAUAAAAAUAAUAAUUGAAUUUAAUUAUUUUAUUUUAUUGGGGUGAUAUGAGUAUAAUUAAUAAUAACUGCUUAAAAAAUAUACUUUUAUAUAAGGAUAAUAAAUAUAUGAUCCUUUUUAAAGAUUAAAAGACUAAGUUACUUUAGGGAUAACAGCGUUAUUUCUUUUGAGAGUUCAUAUCGAAAAAGAAGAUUGCGACCUCGAUGUUGAAUUAAAAUAUCUAUAUAGUGUAGCCGUUAUAAAAGAAGGUCUGUUCGACCUUUAAAAUUUUACAUGAUUUGAGUUC